AUACAAUUAAGAAACAAACAUCGACUGUUUAUUUUGCUCACAAACUUUGGUCGGGGAGUGAGCGACUUCUUAUUUUUAUUUUGUU
rnacentral:antisense_RNA from 2 species